AAAUAUUCUUGAAAAGGUAGAGGGAAAAAUGAGAAGAAAAGAUUGCAUUGGGUUAAAUAUCUGGGUGGGACCUCACCCAUAGCAGUUGAGUUCGGUUAAAUUUAGUUUCAGUUUAUUCCUCAAGAACAGAUCCUUCAUUGAAAUUCAAUACAACAGCAUAAGCAUCCAGAACAUGCAGUUGACACAUGCAUGGCUUUUGGUGAAGAGAAUCUAGCCAAUAGAGGCA
rnacentral:misc_RNA from 1 species